CUUCUACUCCCUCCGUUCAGAAUUACUUGUCACAAGAAUGGAUGUAUCUACAACUAAAAUACAUCUAGAUACAUUCAUUUCUUAGACGAGUAAUUCCGAACGGAGGAAGUAUCUU
rnacentral:pre_miRNA from 1 species